AUGGCAACCCACUCCAGUAUUUUUUGCCUGGGAAAUUCCAUGGACAGAGGAGCCUGGUGGGCUACAGUCUAUAGGAUAGAAAAGCUGGAUACGAAUAAGUGACUAACAACAACAAAUAAAUACGGGUGGCUGGAGGGCAUAGGGAUUCAACAGUAGACAGAUGAAUAGAAUCUGUACCUUUGUGUUAAAACAGAUCAGUGUUUGUGUUAAAACAAAUCCAUGUUUGGGGAGCAAUAAGAAAGAAUUGGAUAUUUAUAGAGGAGUGUGCAAAAUGAAUUUUUAAGGCCAAAUGUAAAUGAUUUGGGAUUCUUUAUUAUAAUGAAUUAUCAUAUCACUGUUCCCAUCAUUGAUCUAGAAUUUGUUGCUAAUAGGAAGUAACUUUGCCCCUUCUAAAUCAAAAGUAACAAACUACAGCUCUGUUUUGCCAGUCUUUAAUAAUUAUAGCAUAUGCUUUAAAAAAUGGAAGCUUCAUUGUUCAGUGUUGUUUACAUUAUUUUAUUUUCGAUUUGAUUUCAAAUUAUAGUCCAUAUGACAGCAUCAGUAAUAUGAAAUGUCUACACAUCAUAUUAGCUGUACUAAUAUGCUUUUUUUCCUCUCUUGUAGGCUUUCUACAAGUAUAAGAGAGUUACAGAACUUCAAAGUUUUAUUACAACACAGUAGGGAUACAAGUACUGUCUGAUGGGAAAGGGGGAACUUAAGGUGCCAAUGUAUAUAAAGCAAGGACAGCUAUUUUGAUCUCCAUCAGCAUUGCCUUCAUCUGGAAAUUUGGGAAUAGUUCACAGUAAACUUCCUAGCAGUUUUGCAAACUGAAGUACCUGCAGAAACCAUAGCUAUUCACCAAAACACACAGACUGGGUGCAUGGUAUCAUGGAAAUUAUUUGGUAAAACAAAACCAACACAGACACAUACCAGGUUUAUGUGUAUUCUAUUUGAAGUAACAUCUACAGGUGCAGCUUUGAUUUUGAACAGAAUUCCAAAUGAUUUGCUGUUGUACCCACAAGAUUAUAGAAAAUGUGAAUUAAAGUAAAUGUUUCUGCAA